UGGGUGGAACGAUAUGGCAUUUAAAACAGUGUUCCGAGAAGGACUUAACCAUGAAUUACAAGCAGAGUUAGCAUGCAAAGAUGAAACCUCUGACCUAUCACAGUAUAUCACCAUGGCUAUUAAGUUAGAUAAUCUCAUCCGUAACAAACCCCGCUCCAAACAAAACAAAAUGGCUCCUGUUCCAGUUGAAGCUGCUCCUCUCUCUAUGUCCCAAUCCACAGAACCCAUGCAAAUCGGCUAUACUAGAGUGUCACCAGAAGAACGACAUCAUCAUCUACAGGAACAUAUGUGCUUUUACUGUGGCCAACCCAAUCAUCAUUGCAAUACCUGUCCCAAUAAAACCAACAACACCUCCAGGAAAACACGCUAGUGGAUUCUGGAUCUGCAGUCAAUUUAAUCCAUGAUGACCUCGUCCAGGAAUUAAAGAUCCCCACUCUGCCAUGCAUCCCUUCAAUUAAUGUCACAGCAGUCGAUAACGAACCCAUAGGACAAGGCAUUUCACAACAGACAGUCCCAAUAACUCUACAAAUUGGAUUAUUUCACACUGAAGAGAUCUCAUUCUAUGUCAUUUCUUCUCCCAAGAACCAGAUCAUUCUCGGUCAUCCAUGGUUGGCUAUCCAUGACCCUAGUAUUUCUUGGAGUCAAGGUGAACUCAUCAAAAGGUCUCAUUAUUGCCAAGAACACUGUAUUAACUAAAGGAUGACCUUACCAUGUUUUACCACGAGUGUGGAAAGUCCAGAUACUUUUACAACAACAGUGAUUCCAGCUGAAUACUCAAAAUUUUCAGAGGUCUUCAGCAGAGCAAAAGCAACCCAACUACCUCCCCAUCGUCCAUGGGAUUGUGCCAUUGAAUUUCUCCCAAAUACUACACCUCCCAAAAGCAAAGUUUACCCCUUGUCACGUCCAGAGACUCAGGCCAUGGAAACUUACAUUGAAGAAGCCCUGGCAUCAGGCUUUAUACGUCCCUUUACCUCUCCAGCAGCGGCAGGGUUCUUUGUGGAGAAAAAAGGUGGCGGACUAAGACCAUGCACUGAUUAUCGAGGUCUCAAUGCAAUCACAAUAAAGAACAGAUAUCCACUUCCUCUUGUCCCUUCGGCACUGGAACAACUCCGGGAGGCACGUUUCUUUACCAAACUAGAUCUUUGAAGUGCCUACAACCUUAUUCGAAUCAGAGAAGGGGAUGAAUGGAAAACUGCCUUCCUCACCACUAGGGGGCACUAUGAAUACCAAGUUAUGCCAUAUGGUCUGGUCAAUGAACCCUCUGUCUUCCAGUCUUUUAUCAAUGAAAUCCUCAGAGACCUGCUAAACCAUUCUGUCAUUGCAUACAUUGAUGACAUCCUAAUCUAUUCCCAAACAAAAGAAGAACACAUUCAACAUGUCAAGACAGUACUAACUCGGCUCCAACAGAACCAACUCUACAUCAAGGCUGAGAAAUGUGAGUUCCAUACCAUUAGUACUACGUUCUUGGGGUACAUCAUCAGUCAUCACGGUGUGGAGAUAGAUCUAUCUAAAGUCAAAGCAGUUACCGAAUGGCCACAAUCUACCACUAUCAAAGAACUUCAACGAUUUCUUGGUUUUGCAAAUGUCUACAGAAGAUUUAUAAGGAAUUACAACAUCAUUGCAGCCCAUCUGACAUCCCUACUCAAGGACAAACCCAAGAAACUUCAAUGGAACAAAUUCGCUAACACUGCUUUCAACACCCUUAAGACCUGCUUCACUACUGCACCCAUCCUCAAGCAUCCUGAUCCAAGACUACCCUUCAUCAUUGAAGUAGACACUUCUGUCAUUGGGAUUGGGGCUGUUCUCUCUGGCACACCAGGCCGAAUGUACCCAUGUACCUUCUAUUCUAGAAAACUCACUUCUGCUGAAAGAAAUUACGAUGUGGGUAACAAAGAAUUACUUUCUAUGAAAGCAGCAAUGGAGGAAUGGAGACACUGGCUAGAGGGAGCGGAACACCCAUUUCAAGUUAUCACUGACCAUAAGAACUUGGAAUACAUCAAGAGUGCCAAGAGACUCAAUCCACGACAAGCCCAUUGGUCUCUAUUCUUCACCAGAUUCUGAUUCACAGUUACCUACCAUUCUGGAAGCAAGAACAGUAAAGCAAAUGCUCUCUCUAGAAGGUAUGACCCUAUGUCUUUCCAAAAUAACCAAGACUCCAUUCUCCCCUCAUCAGUGGUUGUACCAUCCCUCCGCUGGGAUAUCAUGGAUGAGAUCCAACGGGCACAACAAACAGAUCCUCCCCCACCUUCCUGCCCACCAACCAAGCAGUAUGUUCCACGCCUCCUCAGACAAUGUGUGAUUCAAUGGGUACAUACUUCCCUCAGCGCUGGACAUCCAGGUAUUCAACAAACCAUUACCUUAAUAUGCAACUCAUUCUGGUGGUCUUACUUAACUAAAGAUGUUACCUCAUAUGUCAAGUCCUGUUCUGUAUGUGCUCAGUCAAAAACCCCCAAGGAUCUACCUGCUGGACUGCUGGAACCCCUACCCAUACCUCAGAGGCCCUGGUCCCAUCCCACAGCCAUGGAAACAGCCACUGCCUUGUUUCAUCAUGUGUUCCGGGUAUAUGGAUUACCAGAGGACAUUGUCACGGACAAUUCACGUCAAGGGUAUGCAGGAAUUUCGCAAACUGUUGGACAUUAAUGUUAGUCUAACCUCAGGCUACCACCCACAGGCUAAUGGACAAGUGGGGAGAUUGAACCAGGAGAUCGGACGUUACCUUGUAGUCGGGAAAAACAGAGAUGGAGUGAAUUUCUUCCAUGGGCUGAGUAUGCCCAAAAUUCACUAAUCCAUUCAUCCACAGGACUCACCCCCUUUCAAUGUGUACUGGGUUACCAACCUCCCAUGUUCCCUUGGUCUGGUGAACCAUCUACAGUAGCGGCAGUGGAUGACUGGAUCAAGAGGAGUGAACGGGUGUGGGACAGCGCUUGUGUGAGGCUUCAACGUGCCAUUCGUUCUCAAAGAAUCCAGGCGGACCGUCGGAGGCGUCCCCACCCCAACUAUCAGCCAGGCCAGAAGGUCUGGCUUUCCACACGAAACCUUUUGCUACAACCACUGAUGAGGGGAGAAUGGAAUCUUGGUUAUUUUGGAAAGACAUAGGGUCAUACCUUCUAGAGAGAGCAUCUGCUUUACUGUUCUUGCUUCCAGGACGGUAGGUAACUGUGAAUCGGAAUCUGGUGAAGAAUAGAGACCAAGGGGCAUUCUGUAAUGCUUGCUCUCUCCAGCCAGCAGAGGGAGCCCUCACCAGAAUACUGACUACACUCCAUUUCUUCUACAGUUACUUCCUGUUUGUUAGAUAUAAAGAGCCAUGCUUUCUACUAACACUUUGCGAAGUAUUGCCAGUCUUUUCUGCCUUACUGAGCGUUCUUUCCAUUGUCAUUGUUACUGCUUCUUGUUAUGACCAUUUGCCUGUUUCUUGGAUAUCACGUUUUGGAUUACUGUUUUUGCCUUGGUUACCUCUUUGGACUGUCUAUUUUGAUCACUAAACCCUGCCUGUAUUUUUGACCACCUCUUUGCCUGUUGAUUUGGAUUUACUGCUACAAAUAAACUUCUGCAAAUGGAUUCAAAACAGAAACAAA